AUCCAGUUGACCAGUCCGGAAUAGGAUGAAACGCGUGUCUUGGAU
rfam:Schistosoma rodhaini strain Burundi genome assembly, scaffold: SROB_scaffold0003521